ensembl:lncRNA
UUUUUUAUGAAAGAUUUAUCUAAUGUGAUCCUACAGAAUGUUCUCUUUCUCUGCCAUCUAUCUAGUUUUCUAACAUUCUGCAUCAAAAAGUCCAUGAAAAGCUAUAAGCUUCUUGAUGUUCUCCAAUCAGGGCACUGACGCUGUACUUUAUAGUGCUUUGAGAGGAUACUUCCCAGGAUGCAAUGAAUGACUACAUCUAUGGGUGAACCACUAAAGGCUUUUGCUCCAAGAGUGAUAUGAUUGAACUUAUAUUUUAGAAAAGUAACUCUGGUAGUGCUAGAAGUCAUGGUUUUAAGAAACAGGAUCCUAGAAGGUGGGGAAAUGAUAAAGGACACGGCAAGGGACCCUGAAUCACAGCAGUGAGAAGAGAUGCAAAAGUAAAUACCAAUGAUAGAAUGGUCUUGACUUGAUAACAACUAAAUCUGGGAGGAAAAAGUGGAGGAAGCUAUGGAAGAUGUCUCAGAAAUGUCUUGUUCAAGUGUCAAUGGCUAAAUCAGAAGCUUACAAAGAACAGGUGACUCGGUGGGGAAAUAAAUAAAUUCCAUUCUGGAAAUGCCGACUUUGAAGUGCUAAUGGAACAUCCAUUGAGAAAUGUCCUGCAGGUCUAAUGCUCAGAAAACAACCUGUGCCAAAAAAGUUUAGGUGUGGGGAUUAUUAACAUAAGUUGAAGCCUUGUGAAUGGGUUAGUCCAGGAAGAGAUUAAAAACUGAGGAAAAGAAAAAGAACUGGAAAGGACUAAAUUCUAAAUGACGCCUUGUUUCUAGAGAUAGUAGAAUCAGAGAAAGAGAUAGAAAGAAUAGAUAGAAAGAGAAAGAACCUGGAGUCCAGAAACCAAGAGAUGAGAUAAUUUCAAUAAUAAUUCCAAUAUGCAAUUUAACCCAUUCAGAAACUAAAAAAAAAUUUUUAAUUAUAUUUUUUAUUUCUGGAAAUUAGUUCUUUUCUCAAUUUUACUCAUAUUUUCAGGCCUCUUUUUUCACUUCUUGAAAUGUAUUAAACAUACUUAUUUUACGUUCUAUAUCUGAAAACUGCACCUGCUAAUUUUUUAUGCAUCAUAUUUUGCAGUUUGUGGUUUUUGCUGGCUCUCCCUUAUGGCGUCUUGAGUGUUCAGUGAUUGUCAACUGUGAGUAACUCACUGUUUUAGAGACCACAUGAACAAAACAUUUUUCAAAGCAUGAGGUGAAGGGGUUCUUGCAAAAAGGAUUUCUAUUUGCUUUUCAGAUGCCUGUGCCAUUAUUGGCCUGAAACCACUUUAAACUUAUUGUACAUUUUAAAAUAAAUAAGAGUAUAAUUGAAAUGUUUAUAACACAAAGAAAUGAUAAAUGCUUGAGGUAAUGGAUACCCCAUUUACCCUGAUGUGAUUAUUACAACAUCGUACUCGAGUAUCAAAAUAUCUCAUGUAUGCUCUCUCUCUCUCUCUCUCUAUAUAUAUAUGGUGUAUAUAUAUGUGGUAUAUAUAUGUGGUGUAUAUAUAUACUAUGUACCUGUGUAAAUCGAAAAUUAAAAAUAAAAGAAUAGGCUGGGUACAGUGGCUCACGCCUGUAAUCCCAACACU